AUUGAACGCUGGCGGCAGGCUUAACACAUGCAAGUCGAGCGGGGUGAUGGUGCUUGCACUAUCACUUAGCGGCGGACGGGUGAGUAAUGCUUAGGAAUCUGCCUAUUAGUGGGGGACAACAUCUCGAGAGGGAUGCUAAUACCGCAUACGUCCUACGGGAGAAAGCGGGGGAUCACUUGUGACCUUGCGCUAAUAGAUGAGCCUAAGUCGGAUUAGCUAGUUGGUGGGGCAAAGGCCUACCAAGGCGACGAUCUGUAGCGGGUCUGAGAGGAUGAUCCGCCACACUGGGCCUGAGACACGGCCCAGACUCCUACGGGAGGCAGCAGUGGGGAAUAUUGGACAAUUGGGGGAACCCUGAUCCAGCCAUGCCGCGUGUGUGAAGAAGGCCUUAUGGUUGUAAAGCACUUUAAGCGAGGAGGAGGCUCUUUUGGUUAAUACCCAAGAUGAGUGGACGUUACUCGCAGAAUAAGCACCGGCUAACUCUGUGCCAGCCGCCGCGGUAA
rnacentral:rRNA from 1 species